UACGAAGGGAGCAAGCGUUGCUCGGAUUUAUUGGGCGUAAAGGGUGUGUAGGCGGUUUGAUAAGUUAGAUGUGAAAGCCCCGGGCUCAACCCGGGAAUUGCAUUUAAGACUGUUGAACUUGAAGUUUGGAGAGGUUAGCAGAAUUCCCAGUGUAGAGGUGAAAUUCGUAGAUAUUGGGAAGAAUACCAAUGGCGUAGGCAGCUAACUGGCCAAAACUUGACGCUGAGGCACGAAAGCGUGGGGAGCAAACAGG
rnacentral:rRNA from 1 species